GCUCUGAUGGCCAAGUUGGUAAGGCGCGUCACUAGUAAUGACGAGAUCAACGGUUCAAAUCCGUUUCAGAGCA
rfam:Tuber melanosporum whole genome shotgun sequence assembly, scaffold_153, strain Mel28